AGAAUUUGAUCCUGGUUCAGAUUGAACGCUGACGGCGUGGAUGAGGCAUGCAAGUCGAACGAAGCGUCAUUGAGCUUGCUCAAUGACACUUAGUGGCGGAAGGGUUAGUAAUACAUAGGCAACCUACCUAUAACACCGGGAUAACGACUGGAAACGGUCGCUAAUACCGGAUGUGGUGACGCUGGGGCAUCCCAGUGUCAUUAAAGUUGGGGAUCUUCGGACCUUGCGGUUAUAGAGGGGCCUAUGGGAUAUCAGCUUGUUGGUGAGGUAACGGCUCACCAAGGCUAAGACGUCUAGGCGGAUUGAGAGGUUGACCGCCAACACUGGGACUGAGACACUGCCCAGACUCCUACGGGAGGCUGCAGUCGAGAAUCAUUCGCAAUGGGCGAAAGCCUGACGAUGCGACGCCGUGUGAGCGAAGAAGGCCUUCGGGUCGUAAAGCUUUUUCGCCCGGGAACAAAGAUAAAGGGUUAAUACCCCUUUGUUUUGAGGGUACCGGGAAAAGAAGCGCCGGCUAACUCCGUGCCAGCAGCUGCGGUAAUACGGAGGGCGCAAGCGUUAAUCGGAUUCAUUGGGUGUAAAGGGGGCGUAGGCUGGAAUGCAAGUCGGAUGUGAAAUCCCGGAGCUCAACUCCGGAACGGCAUCUGAUACUACAUUUCUUGAGGUUAGGCGGGGAGAACAGAAUUCCAUGUGUAGCGGUGAAAUGCGUAGAUAUAUGGAGGAAUACCUGUGGCGAAGGCGGUUCUCUAGCUUACACCUGACGCUGAGGCCCGAAAGCCAGGGGAGCAAACAGGAUUAGAUGCCCUGGUGGUCCUGGCCGUAAACGAUGUAUACUUGGUGUAGUGGGACUUAACCCCGACUGUGCCGGAGCUAACGUGUUAAGUAUACCACCUGGGGAGUACGCUCGCAAGGGUGAAACUCAAAAGAAUUGACGGGGGCCCGCACAAGCAGUGGAGCAUGUGGUUUAAUUCGAUGCAACGCGAAGAACCUUACCCAGGUUUGACAUACAGAGGACCGCACCAGAAAUGGUGUUUCUCGUGAGAGUCUCUGAACAGGUGCUGCAUGGCUGUCGUCAGCUCGUGCCGUGAGGUGUUGGGUUAAGUCCCGCAACGAGCGCAACCCUUAUCGCUAGUUGCCAACAAGUAAUGCUGGGAACUCUAGCGAGACUGCCUCGGUUAACGAGGAGGAAGGUGAGGAUGAGGUCAAGUCAGCAUGGCCCUUAUGCCUGGGGCUACACACGUGCUACAAUGUCGGUACAACGGGAAGCGAAACCGCGAGGUGGAGCAAAUCCAAAAAGCCGGCCUUAGUUCGAAUUGGAGUCUGCAACUCGACUCCAUGAAGCCGGAAUUGCUAGUAAUGGUGCGUCAGCAAUAGCGCCGUGAAUACGUUCCCGGGCCUUGUACACACCGCCCGUCACAUCAUGGAAGUUGGUCUUACCCGAAGUCGCUGACUCAACCGCAAGGAGAGAGGCGCCGAAGGUGAGGCUGAUGACUAGGAUGAAG
rnacentral:rRNA from 1 species